CCUACGGGAGGCAGCAGUGAGGAAUAUUGGUCAAUGGGCGAGAGCCUGAACCAGCCAAGUCGCGUGAGGGAGUACUGCCCUAUGGGUUGUAAACUUCUUUUGUCGGGGAGCAAAAGCCGGACGUGUCCGGCUGUGAGAGUACCCGAAGAAAAAGCAUCGGCUAACUUCGGGCCAGCGGCCGCGGUAAUACGGAGGAUGCGGGCGUUAUCCGGAUUUAUUGGGUUUAAAGGGGGCGCAGGCGGGUUUUUAAGUCAGCGGUAAAAUCGUGGGGCUCAACCCCAUCCAGCCGUUGAAACUGGGGAUCUAGAGUGUGCGAGAGGUAUGCGGAAUGCGUGGUGUAGCGGUGAAAUGCAUAGAUAUCACGCAGAACCCCGAUUGCGAAGGCAGCAUACCGGUGCGCAACUGACGCUGAGGCUCGAAGGCGUGGGUAUCGAACAGGAUUAGAUACCCUUGUAGUC
rnacentral:rRNA from 1 species